UCUGCCCCUAGAGGCAUUACAGGUAUGAUUGCUGUGUCACAUGUGUGUCAGUAGGUGGCAGAAAGGAGAGAGGCUAUGUCUAUGUUCUGCUCAGUGUUUUGAUCUUUGAACAUCUGAAUCACCUGGAGCCUAACAUU